GGGUCAGUAGGUUGGUCGUGCCACCGGUACGUACUGGUCUCACUGAUUCCUCCUUCCUGAAGAACCGUAAUGCCAUUAAUUUGGUGUUGCGGGGAAACAGGACUGUUACUUUGAAAGAAUUAGAGUGUUUAAAGCAAGCCAACGCUUGAAUACAUUAGCAUGGAAUAAUGAAAUAGGACGAUCGAUCCUAUUUUGUUGGUUUCUAGGAUUGACGUA
rnacentral:rRNA from 1 species